UGGGGGAAUUUUUGGACAAUGGGUGCAAGCCUGAUCCAGCCAUGCCGCGUGCGGGAAGAAGGCCUUCGGGUUGUAAACCGCUUUUGUCAGGGAAGAAAUCUUCUAAGUUAAUACCUCGGGAGGAUGACGGUACCUGAAGAAUAAGCACCGGCUAACUACGUGCCAGCAGCCGCGGUAAUACNUAGGGUGCAAGCGUUAAUCGGAAUUACUGGGCGUAAAGCGUGCGCAGGCGGUUUUGUAAGACAGAGGUGAAAUCCCCGGGGCUCAACCUGGGAACUGCCUUUGUGACUGCAAGGCUUGAGUGCGGCAGAGGGGGGAUGGAAUUCCGCGUGUAGCAGUGAAAUGCGUAGAUAUGCGGAGGAACACCGAUGGCGAAGGCAAUCCCCUGGGCCUGCACUGACGCUCAUGCACGAAAGCGUGGGGGAGCAAAACAGGAUUAGAUACCCCUGGUAGUCCACGCCCUAAAGCGAUGUCAACUGGUUGUUGGGAAGGUUCCUUCUCAGUAACGUAGCUAACGCGUG
rnacentral:rRNA from 1 species